rnacentral:rRNA from 1 species
UAAUACGUAGGGAGCAAGCGUUGUUCGGAUUUACUGGGCGUAAAGGGCGCGUAGGCGGCGCGGUAAGUCACUUGUGAAAUCUCUGAGCUUAACUCAGAACGGCCAAGUGAUACUGCAGUGCUAGAGUGCAGAAAGGGCAAUCGGAAUUCUUGGUGUAGCGGUGAAAUGCGUAGAUAUCAAGAGGAACACCUGAGGCGAAGGCGGGUUGCUAGGCUGACACUGACGCUGAGGCGCGAAAGCCAGGGGAGCAAACGGGAUUAGAUACCCCGGUAGUCCUGGCCCUAAACGAUGAAUACUUGGUGUCUGGAGUUUCAAUACUCCGGGUGCCGUCGCUAACGUUUUAAGUAUUCCGCCUGGGGAGUACGCUCGCAAGAGUGAAACUUAAAUGAAUUGACGG